rnacentral:rRNA from 1 species
AUUGAACGCUGGCGGCAGGCCUAACACAUGCAAGUCGAACGAGUGGCGGACGGGUGAGUAAUGUCUGGGAAACUGCCCGAUGGAGGGGGAUAACUACUGGAAACGGUAGCUAAUACCGCAUACCAUCCUAUGUUCCCAGAUGGGAUUAGCUAGUAGGUGGGGUAACGGCUCACCUAGGCGACGAUCCCUAGCUGGUCUGAGAGGAUGACCAGCCACAAUGGAAUUGAGACACGGUCCAGACUCCUACGGGAGGCAGCAGUGGGGAAUAUUGGACAAUGGGCGAAAGCCUGAUGCAGCCAUGACGCGUGUAUGAAGAAGGCCUUCGGGUUGUAAAGUACUUUCAGCGAGGAGGCGUUACUCGCAGAAGAAGCACCGGCUAACUCCGUGCCAGCAGCCGCGGUAAUUC